UUUGAGGGGAAUGUUGUCUGGCUCGAGGUGCAGGAACAUGCAGAUCUCAUCGGUCUAGAUUGUUGUUGAUCUCGGACCAGGCUUCAUUCCCCUCAAG
rfam:Sorghum bicolor cultivar BTx623 chromosome 4, whole genome shotgun sequence.